CGCAAGCCUGACGGAGCAACGCCGCGUGAGGGAUGAAGGCCUCUGGGCUGUAAACCUCUUUUCUCAAGGAAGAAGAUCUGACGGUACUUGAGGAAUAAGCCACGGCUAAUUCCGUGCCAGCAGCCGCGGUAAUACGGGAGUGGCAAGCGUUAUCCGGAAUUAUUGGGCGUAAAGCGUCCGCAGGCGGCCUUGUAAGUCUGUCGUCAAAGCGUGGAGCUUAACUCCAUUUAAGCGAUGGAAACUGCAAGGCUAGAGUGUGGUAGGGGCAGAGGGAAUUCCCGGUGUAGCGGUGAAAUGCGUAGAUAUCGGGAAGAACACCAGUGGCGAAGGCGCUCUGCUGGGCCAUAACUGACGCUCAUGGACGAAAGCCAGGGGAGCG
rnacentral:rRNA from 1 species